GACGAACGCUGGCGGCGUGCUUAACACAUGCAAGUCGAACGGAAAGGCCCCCUUGUGGGGUACUCGAGUGGCGAACGGGUGAGUAACACGUGAGUAACCUACCCUUGACUUUGGGAUAACUUCAGGAAACUGGGGCUAAUACCGGAUAGGAGCUCCUGCUGCAUGGUGGGGGUUGGAAAGUUUCGGCGGUUGGGGAUGGACUCGCGGCUUAUCAGCUUGUUGGUGGGGUAGUGGCUCACCAAGGCUUUGACGGGUAGCCGGCCUGAGAGGGUGACCGGCCACAUUGGGACUGAGAUACGGCCCAGACUCCUACGGGAGGCAGCAGUGGGGAGUAUUGCACAAUGGGCGGAAGCCUGAUGCAGCAACGCCGCGUGCGGGAUGACGGCCUUCGGGUUGUAAACCGCUUUCGCCUGUGACGAAGCGUGAGUGACGGUAAUGGGUAAAGAAGCACCGGCUAACUACGUG
rnacentral:rRNA from 1 species